rnacentral:rRNA from 1 species
UCAAAAACAUGUCUUUUUGAUAAUAAUUUAAAGUCUAAUCUGCCCACUGAUAUAAAUAUUAAAGGGCUGCAGUAUAUUGACUGUACAAAGGUAGCAUAAUCAUUAGUCUUUUAAUUGAAGACUUGUAUGAAAGAUUUGAUGAAAUAUAAUCUGUCUCUAUAUUAUUAAUAGAAAUUAAUUUUUUAGUUAAAAAGCUAAAAUAGUAUUAAAAGACGAGAAGACCCUAUAAAGUUUUAUAAUUUAUUUAUUUAUUAUUAAUUGUAAAAAUAAAUAUUAUAAUUAAAUAAAUUAUUUUAUUGGGGUGAUAGAAAAAUUAAAUAAACUUUUUUUUAAUAUAAAACAUAAAUAAAUGAAAAAUUGAUCCAUUAAUAAUGAUUAAAAGAAAAAAUUACUUUAGGGAUAACAGCGUAAUAUUUUUUUUUAGUACAAAUAAAAAAAAAAGUUUGCGACCUCGAUGUUGGAUUAAGAUAAAAUUUAAAUGCAAAAGUUUAAAAUUUUGAUCUGUUCGAUCAUUAAAAUCUUACAUGAUCUGAGCU